rnacentral:rRNA from 1 species
GUGCCAGCAGCCGCGGUAAUUCCAGCUCCAAUAGCGUAUAUUAAAGUUGUUGUGGUUAAAAAGCUCGUAGUUGAACCUUGGGCCUGGCUGGCCGGUCCGCCUCACCGCGUGCACUGGUCCGGCCGGGCCUUUCCCUCUGUGGAACCCCAUACCCUUCACUGGGCGUGGCGGGGAAACAGGACAUUUACUUUGAAAAAAUUAGAGUGCUCCAGGCAGGCCUAUGCUCGAAUACAUUAGCAUGGAAUAAUAAAAUAGGACGCGCGGUUCUAUUUUGUUGGUUUAUAGGACCGCCGUAAUGAUUAAUAGGGACAGUCGGGGGCAUCAGUAUUCAACUGUCAGAGGUGAAAUUCUUGGAUCAGUUGAAGACUAACUACUGCGAAAGCAUUUGCCAAGGAUGUUUUCAUUAAUCAGGAACGAAAGUUAGGGGAUCGAAGACGAUCAGAUACCGUCGUAGUCUUAACCAUAAACUAUGCCGACUAGGGAUCGGACGGUGUUAUUCAUGACCCGUUCGGCACCUUACGAGAAAUCAAAGUGCUUGGGCUCCAGGGGAGUAUGGUCGCAAGGCUGAAACUUAAAGAAAUUGACGGAAGGGCACCACCAGGGGUGGAGCCCUGCGGCUUAAUUUGACUCAACACGGGGAAACUCACCAGGUCUAGACACAAUAAGGAUUGACAGAUUGAGAGCUCUUUCUUGAUUUUGUGGGUGGUGGUGCAUGACCGUUCUUAGGUUGGUGGGGUGACUAGUCUGCUAAAUAGCGAUAACGAACGAGAUCGUAAUCUUGCUAAUAGCCCGCAUGCUCCGGGCAGUACGCUGGGCUUCAUAGAAGUGGACUUUGCUGUCAUCA